AGAAUUCCAGGUGUAGCGGUGAAAUGCGUAGAGAUCUGGAGGAAUACCGGUGGCGAAGGCGGCCCCCUGGACGAAGACUGACGCUCAGGUGCGAAAGCGUGGGGAGCAAACAGGAUUAGAUACCCUGGUAGUCCACGCCGUAAACGAUGUCGACUUGGAGGUUGUGCCCUUGAGGCGUGGCUUCCGGAGCUAACGCGUUAAGUCGACCGCCUGGGGAGUACGGCCGCAAGGUUAAAACUCAAAUGAAUUGACGGGGGCCCGCACAAGCGGUGGAGCAUGUGGUUUAAUUCGAUGCAACGCGAAGAACC
rnacentral:rRNA from 1 species